GUUAAAACAUGGCUCCUCCACAGAGAUCAACUGCAUCAGACGUAAGGAGGGCCAAAAGGAAUGCCCCGCCUCCUCCCUGUGGCAACAAGCUGCAGGAAGUGCAAUCAGACAUCGCUGCUGAAGAUUCCGCUGAAAAGAAUUGAACAUAAAGCCGGUGUGUUUUAGACUGACAAACAUCAUUCUUGGAGACGACAACAUCUCGUGUGCCGAUCAGCAGCGAAUGGCAUCUCUCAUCAUUCUUCAUCUCUUGCUAGCAUCAAAGUGAUGCUAGCAAAUGCUAGCAAGAGA